ensembl:lncRNA
GAGGCAGGCCAACUUACCAAAAGCAGUAGAAAAUGACCAAAGCACCCUACAACUAAAUGCCACCUGCUCUGUGCUGCAAUGCAUCCCUUCCGUGACCUCUUACUUAUUUUCAUAUUUUUGUUAGCAGAACCUCAGUUCUCUGACUGAUCUACGAAGAGUUGCUUGCGGUGGAACACCCCUGUAAUCCCAGUACUCUGGGAGGCUGAGGCAGGAGAAUGGCAAGACUGAGGUCAGCCGGGACAACUUCGUGGGACCCUGUCUUAAAAUAAACAUGUCCUGUGUCACAAGGUGUCAGCUCAUGAAGAGUGGAAUCUAUUUCAAAGCCAAUCUUUUUUUUUCUUAGAAAUUGAAUGCUAAGCCUUCCUUCUAC